GUCGAACGCUGGCGGCGUGCCUAAUACAUGCAAGUUGAGCGCUGAAGGUUGGUACUUGUACCAACUGGAUGAGCAGCGAACGGGUGAGUAACGCGUGGGGAAUCUGCCUUUGAGCGGGGGACAACAUUUGGAAACGAAUGCUAAUACCGCAUAAAAACUUUAAACACAAGUUUUAAGUUUGAAAGAUGCAAUUGCAUCACUCAAAGAUGAUCCCGCGUUGUACUAGCUAGUUGGUGAGGUAAAGGCUCACCAAGGCGAUGAUACAUAGCCGACCUGAGAGGGUGAUCGGCCACAUUGGGACUGAGACACGGCCCAAACUCCUACGGGAGGCAGCAGUAGGGAAUCUUCGGCAAUGGACGAAAGUCUGACCGAGCAACGCCGCGUGAGUGAAGAAGGUUUUCGGAUCGUAAAACUCUGUUGGUAGAGAAGAACGUUGGUGAGAGUGGAAAGCUCAUCAAGUGACGGUAACUACCCAGAAAGGGACGGCUAACUACGUG
rnacentral:rRNA from 1 species